rnacentral:lncRNA from 1 species
CGCAAGUCUUCAUUCCUCCCGCGGGGUCGAGAAGAAACGCGACACCCAAGGCGCGCGACGCCUGCCUCCACACAGGCACACGAACAGAGCGAGGCGGCGGGUGUAUGUACACCCGAGACCGGAGCCGGUGAGCUGUGUGCGGGUCCUGGGGGUUGUCGUUGUCUCUGUUUUUCUCUUGCUUGCUUUUCAGGCUGAACUUGAAAAGCUGUGGCCAUCCGGCUGUUGCUUUCACAUACGAGAGUGGACUGGUUCUCCCUUUUCUCGCGCCGCAAGUCUCACCCGCGCCUCACCGGUCGACUCGAAGCCCAGGGGGCUGCUUUCUGAGAAGAGAGGCCAACUCUUCAGUGUCGUCAUCUGUGCGUUGCCUUCCUCCUCUCGUGAGAGACAAAACGGACUUCUGCGGUGAGGCGAACAGCUUCGGAGACGGCACCGAAGCUACGGGCGGAGCAACAGUACGGACUGAGGACAUCCGAUGGACUCUAGAUCCACGAGCAAUGCUGCUCCGGCUCUCUCUCUCAGGAGGCAAAGCGAAGAAGGAAGAUCCCGAACUCACACAUCCAUGCUCCCCUGUCCAUCCUCGCCUGUUCGGCCGCCUCGCGCCUCCGACGUACGCGGACAUGCAUGCAUAUAUGUAUAAGUAAAGGCAUGUGAAACCUGGGGCGUAGCGAUAUACAUACACUUCUCCACCUUCCACACCCUUCUAUCUAUGAAUGCACAUAUACGUAUAUAGGUAUGAAUAAAUCUACAUACAAAAGUGUGUGUGCAAACGUAUAUGCAUAUAUAUAUGUAUACGUAGAUGCAUAUACAAAAGAAGGCGCAAGAAACGUAUCCAGAGAUACCUGUUUCACUGUGUCCAGUCCCGAUUUCGCGAUGCUCUGUAGCGUUUUUAUUUCGCUCGCUUGCGUUUUAUAUACUGAUGAAGAUGUGUGUCCACACUCGUAUGUGCACAUGUGAACGUAUACAUAAAUACAUAUAUAUAUAUAUAUAUGUAUAUAUAGGUAUAAGCUUAUCCGUGAGCAUACACGCAACUGUG